rnacentral:rRNA from 1 species
UAGAAGUAAAAGUCGUAACAAGGUGCCGCACGGAAGCCUUGCACGCCCAGUCCGCCUUCGGGCGGGCGACACUCGCCUGUAGCUGGAAGCUUCCCCCGGGUCUCCGGGGGCAACGAUCAGCUGCUGCGCGCCCCCGGGCGUGCAGUCCACAGAUCAAACGCGGGUGGCCUGCGCCUGCAGGUUGAGAUAUGACCGUAGCAGCUCCGCCGGGAGCCUGGCAUACUAGUUCCGUAGGUGAACCUGCGGAAGGAUCAUUA